rnacentral:tRNA from 1 species
GGGGCUGUGGCUCAGCGGUAGAGUGCUCACCUAGCACGUGUGAGGGCCCAGGUUCGAUCCUCAGCACCA